AGAGUUUGAUCAUGGCUCAGAAUCAACGCUGGCGGCGUGCCUAACACAUGCAAGUCGCACGAGAAAGGGACUUCGGUCCUGAGUACAGUGGCGCACGGGUGAGUAACACGUGAAUCAUCUACCUUCGAGUGGGGAAUAACUGAGAGAAAUCUUAGCUAAUACCGCAUAAUACCUACGGGUCAAAGCAGCAAUGCGCUUGAAGAGGAGUUCGCGGCAGAUUAGUUAGUUGGCGGGGUAAUGGCCCACCAAGACGAUGAUCUGUAUCCGGCCUGAGAGGGCGCACGGACACACUGGAACUGAAACACGGUCCAGACUCCUACGGGAGGCAGCAGUGGGGAAUUUUGCGCAAUGGGGGAAACCCUGACGCAGCAACGCCGCGUGGAGGAUGAAAUCCCUUGGGAUGUAAACUCCUUUCGAUAGGGAAGAUAAUGACGGUACCUAUAGAAGAAGCCCCGGCUAACUUCGUGCCAGCAGCCGCGGUAAUACGAGGGGGGCAAGCGUUGUUCGGAAUUAUUGGGCGUAAAGGGUGCGUAGGCGGUUUGACAAGUCUUAUGUGAAAUCUAUGGGCUCAACCCAUAGUCUGCAUGGGAAACUGUCGGGCUUGAGUAUGGGAGAGGUGAGUGGAAUUUCCGGUGUAGCGGUGAAAUGCGUAGAUAUCGGAAGGAACACCUGUGGCGAAAGCGGCUCACUGGACCAUAACUGACGCUGAUGCACGAAAGCUAGGGGAGCAAACAGGAUUAGAUACCCCGGUAGUCC
rnacentral:rRNA from 1 species